GUUCUUUUAAUGGCCGCCUUCCCACUAGAGGAUCUGAUCCCGAGCAAUUUGAAAGGGGGAAAGAGUAAAACUGGCGGUAGUUCCGAGAGAAGAAGUGCCUGUGACAAGGAAACCAUGGGAGUCAUAUUUGUGGCAGUCAAGAAGAGGUUUCCCAAUGUGUCCAGAGGAGCUUUGGGUGAAUUCCAAGCUUGGGGAAUGAAGAAUGCUUGAAAAAAAAAAAA